CCUUUUGUAGAAUGAACCGGCGAGUUACGAUUUGAUGCAAGGUUAAGCAGUAAAUGUGGAGCCGUAGCGAAAGCGAGUCUGAAUAGGGCGUUUAGUAUUUGGUCGUAGACCCGAAACCAGGUGAUCUACCCUUGGUCAGGUUGAAGUUCAGGUAACACUGAAUGGAGGACCGAACCGACUUACGUUGAAAAGUGAGCGGAUGAACUGAGGGUAGCGGAGAAAUUCCAAUCGAACCUGGAGAUAGCUGGUUCUCUCCGAAAUAGCUUUAGGGCUAGCCUCAAGUGAUGAUUAUUGGAGGUAGAGCACUGUUUGGACGAGGGGCCCCUCUCGGGUUACCGAAUUCAGACAAACUCCGAAUGCCAAUUAAUUUAACUUGGGAGUCAGAACAUGGGUGAUAAGGUCCGUGUUCGAAAGGGAAACAGCCCAGACCACCAGCUAAGGUCCCAAAAUAUAUGUUAAGUGGAAAAGGAUGUGGCGUUGCCCAGACAACUAGGAUGUUGGCUUAGAAGCAGCCAUCAUUUAAAGAGUGCGUAAUAGCUCACUAGUCGAGUGACACUGCGCCGAAAAUGUACCGGGGCUAAACAUAUUACCGAAGCUGUGGAUUGUCCUUUGGACAAUGGUAGGAGAGCGUUCUAAGGGCGUUGAAGCAUGAUCGUAAGGACAUGUGGAGCGCUUAGAAGUGAGAAUGCCGGUGUGAGUAGCGAAAGACGGGUGAGAAUCCCGUCCACCGAUUGACUAAGGUUUCCAGAGGAAGGCUCGUCCGCUCUGGGUUAGUCGGGUCCUAAGCUGAGGCCGACAGGCGUAGGCGAUGGAUAACAGGUUGAUAUUCCUGUACCACCUAUAAUCGUUUUAAUCGAUGGGGGGACGCAGUAGGAUAGGCGAAGCGUGCGAUUGGAUUGCACGUCUAAGCAGUAAGGCUGAGUAUUAGGCAAAUCCGGUACUCGUUAAGGCUGAGC
rnacentral:rRNA from 1 species